UACAGAGGUCCCAAGCGUUGUUCGGAUUCACUGGGCGUAAAGGGUGCGUAGGUGGUGAGGUAAGUCGGAUGUGAAAGCUCGGAGCUCAACUCCGAAAUGGCAUUGGAAACUACCUUGCUCGAGGGUUGGAGGGGGGACUGGAAUACUUGGUGUAGCAGUGAAAUGCGUAGAUAUCAAGUGGAACACCAGUGGCGAAGGCGGCAUCCUGGACCAGCACUGACACUGAUGAGCGAAAGCCAGGGGAGCAAACGGG
rnacentral:rRNA from 1 species